UCCGAUAACGAACGAGACUCCGGCCUGCUAACUAGUGCGCCGAUGUGUGUGCGUUUUUUGCUACGGCGGGCUCGGGCCGUGCGUGUUCGUCGCGCGUUGUUUCGCGCGUGCGUCUGCGUUCGUUUCGUUUCUCGCGCGUCGGUCGGCGGCUGCUGCGGUGGGGCUCGUCUCUUCCGCGGUCGUCGUCCCGGCGUCGGGGGGCCGGCGGGCGUGGGCGUCGUCGACGGCGUGCGGUCGUGCGUGCGGUUUACGCCGGGUCCGGGUCGGUUUUCUCACGCACUUCUUAGAGGGACGGGUGGCAGAAAGCCACACGAGGCGGAGCGAUAACAGGUCUGUGAUGCCCUUAGAUGUCCGGGGCCGCACGCGCGCUACACUGGAGGUAUCAGCGGGGACUUCGCCCCGGCCCGAGAGGGCUGGGAAACCUCUCAACCACCUCCCGUGAUAGGGAUCGGGGCCUGUAACCAACCCCGUGAACGAGGAAUUCCCGGUAGGCGCGGGUCAACAGCCCGCGUCGAUCACGUCCCUGCCCUUUGUACACACCGCCCGUCGCUACUACCGAUCGAACGGUCCGGUGAGGUCCUCGGAUCUGGCCGACGACGCCGCCGGGCUGCCUGGCGGGUCUGGGGAGGGGGCUUCGCGCUUCCUUCGUCCGCCGCUUGUGUCGCCUCGGCGUUCGACGCCUGGAGAAGACGACCGAACCCGAUCGUUUAGAGGAAGUAAAAGUCGUAACAAGGUUUC
rnacentral:rRNA from 1 species